GUCUGUCUGUUUCUUUUUAGCCAUGACAUUGUCGGUUUGUGUUUGACUUAUGAGUUUCAAGUCCCUGUAGUUUCUAUCUUUCGCCUUUCUUUUAUAACUAACCUAUCAAUCCAUGAGACAGCAACAAUGAAACAAUGUAUUAACAUUCCAAGAGCAUCUAGAGGUUGCAUUCUGCUAAAUUAAAGAAACGUCUACGUAGCUACAUGGGUAUCAUGUAUAUUAUGAAAUAAUAGUUCAAAUGACAACUGGUAAUUUUACAGAUUCCAAUAGUAUGAAAAAUAGUU
rnacentral:lncRNA from 1 species